GUGUCAGCCUCCGCGGUAAUACGUAGGCAGCGAGCGUUGUUCGGAGUUACUGGGCGUAAAGGGUGUGUAGGCGGUUGUUUAAGUUUGGUGUGAAAUCUCCCGGCUCAACCGGGAGGGUGCGCCGAAUACUGAAUGACUAGAGUGUGGGAGAGGUGAGUGGAAUUCCUGGUGUAGCGGUGAAAUGCGUAGAUAUCAGGAGGAACACCGGUGGUGUAGACGGCUCACUGGACCAUAACUGACGCUGAGACACGAAAGCGUGGGGAGCAAACAGGAUUAGAAACCCUCGUAGUCC
rnacentral:rRNA from 1 species